CCUUAAUUGAUUAUUUCUAUAUGUUGAUGUAUGGGCCGUGUCCCAAGUAUUUUGUGUCUACGCUUUGAUGAGAUUGAGACUUAGUAAUAUUUCUUAUGACUUUUAUAUGAAAGCGUUUUUAAAGACUAUAGAAUGUUUAUGAAAGUUUUAAUUCCGCAAUACUUUUCAUAUGUUUUAUAUGCGAUGAACGAUAUGGAAGGGCUUCUACAAGACCUUCGAGAGGUCAAGUACGCUGGUUGCAUUCCGAGAAUGACAUAUCUUCUAGGGUGUGGUUUCGAGAUGUGAUAAGAUUGGUAUCGAUCAUAGGGUAUGAAAGUUGUCUUAGGAAUCAAAAAGACUUAUCAAGUCACUUCUAGUAGAGUGCUGACCAUCAGUGUCUGUCAUUACACAUAUAUGGGCGAGAGUCUAUAAGACGAUACAAUUUUCUUUCUUUUCUACUCCUAAUUCGUGUCGUAGAGUAAAAGUUAUUUUUACUCUUUUCUAAUGGUUUUCCUUGUGUUUCUACGAAGAUGAAUACGAGAAAGAUACCGUCUAGGAGAGUUGAGAAGAAUGAUAAGCAUAAGGAGAUUUCUCCUAGAGUUGAGCAAGUUCCUCAAGGUGUUCAAGUUGCCCAAGUACCUCCCCAAGGUGAUCAAGUCCCUAAUGUGGAAGGAGGUAAUGAUUUUCCGGUGGUUCCCCCGGAGUUGAGUAAUAGUGAUAUUAGAGAGGCUUUGCUUGCCUUAGCCCGAGACAUAACUACUCAAGCGAAUUUGAAUAUGGUGCCUAGGGUGAAUGUUGAGAGAGAACUAUUACGUCUAGGUUGAGAGACUUUGUGAGGAUGAAUCCUCCUAUCUUUCAAGGCUCUAAGGUGGGAGAGGAUUCCUAAGAGUUUCUAGAUGGUGUAUACAAGGUGUUGAGUUUUAUGGGGGUUAUGUUAAGGGAGAAGGCGGAGUUAGGUUCGUAUCAAUUAAAGGAUGUUUCUCAAGUGUUGUACACUGAAUGGAUGGAUUAGGCCGGUAGAGUCGGGUCCUAUUGACUGGGAAGAAUUUGAGGAAGCUUUUCUUGGAAAGUACUUUCCCUGUGAGAGGAGGGAAGUUUAUGUAGAAGAGUUUAUCAAUCUCAAGCAAGACAAUAUGAGUGUUGAGGAAUACUCUUUUAAGUUCGCAAUGUUAUCUAGAUUGUCCCAUCACUUGUAUCUAAUACAAGGGAUGAUAUGAGUAGAUUUGUGAUUGGUGUCGCCGAUCUAGUGAGGAAAGAAUGUCGUACGACCAUGUGACAUGAUGAUAUGACGUUACCUAGACUCAUGCAGUAUACACAAUCAAUAGAAGAGUCUAAACUUGGGAGGAUUUCUAGGAAUUUGAAAAGAAGUGAUUCAAGUAAUCAAGGUCAACUUAGAUUCAAGAAUAGGGCUCAAGGUCAAAAAGAACCUAGGAGUGCUAAGGUGAAAUUAGAGAAAGGAGGUGGUUCUCAAAAUGGAAAACCUACACGUGACACUUGUGAAAAUAAGCACUAUGGGGAAUGCUUAAGGGGUACCGUGAGUUGCUUUGGUUGUGUUAAAGAAGGACAUCAGUUGGGAGUUUGUCCUACUAUUGAGGCUAGAGAAAGAAAGGGUAAACAAGUUUCUCCCAAUGUUCCAAAGGAUGAUGCUCCAAAUAACAGGUGUUCCUAUGCACUCUGGACUAUAAAGAUCAAAGACGGAUGAGGAUGAGGAAUGAUGGUAAGUUUUUGUGUUUCUUUAGUGAUAUGAGUUCCUUAUAAGUGGGGGAGUAUGGGGAGUAAAGGAGUUUUGAUUUGUUGUUUCAUCUUUUCUAUUCAACUCAAGCUGUAGAGUAGAAAGUCAUAGAAGUAUGUUGCAUGUUGCAUUGUUGUUAGGGGUCUUGCUGAAAUUGAAUUUCAUUGAUUCCUUGCAUUGUGCAUUUGAUGAAGUUAUGAUUAUGUUGUAAGGUGUAUUUAUGUGGUUAUACAUUGUAUAUUAGCAUGUUUCUAUCAUGAAUUGCUUAAAAGUUGCACUUUUUGAAAUAUUUGCAUUAUUCGUUGUAGCUUGAAAGUUCACUUUGAGAAUUUCGUAAAUUUGACUAAUUUAUUUUUUGGUCUAAAAUUGUUGUAGUAUGGUUAGAACUGAUUUAUAUGAGAAUUAUAUUGAUUAUAAAAUGAGGUUUUACUAUUUGGAAUGAAGGAUGUGAGUUUUAUAACAUAAUGAGUUGUAGAUUUGUUUCUAGUUUCAUGUUGGUGUUGUGAUGCUCUUGAUUUUGUGAAAUUGAUGUUUUCUUGAUGUUUGAAUUGUAUAUGAUGUUAUAUGGUAUGGUCAUGAUCUGUUAAGUUGAAUCUCUUUCUUGAAAAUGUUCGGAGAGUGGUUAAGUUUCAUUCGAGGAUGAAUAUUGUCCAAGUGUGGGAGAAUGUAAGAUCUCGAAAAUGGCUUAGGUGAAGCUAGAGCCUUACAUAGUUGUAAUGAUGGUCUAAGUUCCUAAAGUUAUCUUUAAUGUGGUAUUUAGGUAGUGUCUAAAGUUUUUCUUGCAUUUUAAGUCAAACGUCAAGGGACGACUAAGACGUUCGACGACUAAGUAACCUGUGUGCCUCAUAUGCAAUUAUCUACCUAAUUAUGUGUUUCAUUAGUUAAUUAAGGCUCUUUAAUGAAUUAUUAUGGUGUUUAUUGCCAGUGUGUCAAGUUUCGUGAAUUUUGGAGGUCAAAAAUCCAAGAACGUCCAUGACUUUCAAAAGACUUGCCCUGAAAUGACCUUAUGUGUCUAUGCAUGUUUUGUUGAGUUUUACGUGUUCGUUUUGGAUGAAAUGGAUGUGGUAGGUCCUAAACUUGUAUACGAGCAUGUUUGGGUUGCAAACGCGGUGAAAAUAUCCCCAAGGACCAUCCAAGGGUCCUUGAGGAAGGACCCACGUUGGUGGCCAGGACUGCCCAAGACUGCCCAAACCACGGAGGUAAUCAAUGCCCAGUAGGUCAGUCGACUCCCCUUAGGUGAGGUAUCGUAGAUGAACACAUAGGCAUGGGGAAGGAGAGGCCAAAGACCAGCCUUAGUCCCAGACCACAGACCAGCAAGACAGUAUGUUGGUCAAGGGACGGGCCUAAAUUCGCCCCACAAUCAAAUAAGAUUUAGGGAGGUUACUUAGGGGUGUUUUGGGUAUUUUAAAUAUGUUUAUAAGUCUAAAAUACUUAGAAGAUUUCAUUCUUUAAAAUCAAAACCGAAAAACCCUUCGAAAUUCUAUAGAACUCCAUUGGAGCAAAAACUCAAGGAAGGGCUUAGAUUGGAGAAUUGAGUGGAGAUUCUUCAUCAAAUUGGAGGAUUAUCUUUAUUGAGGUAAGAUUUUUUAUCCUUUAAACUCUAUUCAUCAAGGAGACCACCUUUCAAACAAGUUUUCUAAUAUUUUCAAAGACGAAUUGUCCAAUUUUAUGAUCUAUCCACGGGUUCUUCUAUUAAAUAUUUUAAAACAUUUUAUAUUGAUUGAAUUGUUGUUAAUUAGAUGAUUUUAUUUCAAUUAACCUAUAAACCCAUGUAAUUGAUGAACACUAGCUUUUGACUACUUAAUGGGUUAAGUGGUUUAGACUUAAUGUGUAUGAAUUCUACUGUAGUUUUCUAUGGACAUUUGAUUAGUGUAAUAAUUAUGUUGAAUUGAUGUCUAUGUUGUGUUAGAUUUAUGAAUAUUUAUUUAAUUGACCUAGUUUCAUUGAUUAUUAUAGUUCUAUAUUGAAUUAUUGGUUAUGGUCAUGGGUAAGGGCCUUAUUGUAUUGAAUUGGAUGGUUUAACAUUGGAUUGAAGUGUUGAGGAUGAAAUGGUGGUACACUGUCCUAAUUCCGUUUAUUUUAUGUUAAUUAGACUUCAAUUAUGUUUUGAUUUGCAUGGUCCACUUAUGGUGGCGGUGUUAUGUGUUUUACUUUGUCACACCCCAACCCUAGGUGAGAUGGACAAGUACCCUAUGAAUACAUGCUUUACAAGUAACCUACGAUGAGAAAGUAAACUAUUAUGCAGAUUACUGAUGAAAAACUUUAUAUACAACACAUAUUGACUAAAUAACCCAUACAUGUGACAAGUAAAACUAUGAAUACAGGUGAUUGAUAGGUUUACAAUGUCUACAAAGCCUCUAUUGGAAUCCAUGCUAUGAAAAUACGCUUAGUAAAGACUCGGCAAAGCCCCGAUUCAACUUGGAGCUCACCAACAACAAUUGACUAUCAUGUGAUUCUAUUGGGGAGAUCUACUUUUGAAUACUUUUACCCCGAUGUAACACUCCAUAUUCUACGUGAACUAGUUCUAUGUAUAUGUCGCUUAAAAAUUUCCUUCUGGUAUAGUCAUAGACUCUGUUUUCUAUGCGACUGGUGACAAUAAAAUAUGUUUGAAGUUGUAAUUCCUCGUGCCUUUUAUGACAUAUACAAAUAAUUGUUUUCCGUGUGAAUGGUGAUAAUAGAAUAUGUUUGAAGUUGAAAUACCUCGUGCCUUUCAACACAUAUCCGAAAAAUGGAGUCUAUAACUAUACCACAAGGAAUUUUUAAUCGACAUAUAGAUAGAACUAGUUCACGUAGAAUACGGGGUGUUACAUCGGGGUAAAAGUUUUCAAAAAUCAGAUCUCCCCAAUAGAAGCACAUGAUACUCAGCUGUUGUUGGUGAUAUCCAGGUUGAUUCAGGGCUUUGCCGAGUCUUUACUAUGCAUAUUUUCAUAGCAUGGAUCUCAAUAGAGGUUUUGUAGAUAUUGUAAAGCUAUCAAUCAUCUGUAUUCAUAGUUUUACAUGUCAUAUGUAUUGGUUCAACUAGUCAACAUGUGUUGUAUAUAAAGCUUUUCAUCAGUAAUCUGCAUAAUAGUUUACUUUCUCAUCAUAGGUUACUUGUAAAACCUAUAUUCAUAGGGUACUAGUCCAUCUCACCUAGGGUUGGGGUGUGAUAAAAGUGGUAUCAAAGUCAUCCUAGGGAGUCUACAAAGAUGUGUCUAGUAGUGACUUAGUUAUGAAUGUGUUGCGCGCCACAUUUAUAAUCAGGGGGCUGCUUUGAAAUUUAGAAAAGUUACCUUCCUUCAUUAUACUGAUCGUGCGAUAAAGCGAAGUUAAGAACCCAAUUUCCAGUUGUACCAAAUCGUGCUAUUCAUAUUAAUUAUGGUUACGGUUAAUGGUUGUUAAGGUGUCAACAUGUGACAUACAAAAAAGACAUCAAAUUAACAAAAGUUUUACUAGAUUGAGCUCAUUUUAUUCGACUAUAUCAGUUGUAAAAGAUUUUAUGUUACUUGCAUCUAAAGUUAUAUCGGUAAAAUUUGCAUCAUGUUGGUUAAAAAAUGAUUUGUUACCUACUUACAUAUAUUUGUUGUAGCAUUUCCAGGCCUAUCUGCUUAGGAGGAUGUAAUAAGCUCUUGAGUUCUAUAUUUCUUCCAUACUUACAGGAUCUAUUCCUAUAAAGGACACUUGUUCUUAGUCUUUGAUAUUACAUCGCAUUGUCAGCGUUACAUAUGUUCUCAAAAUUGAUGUAGUUAAACUAGUUUCUCAAUUUGUAGGUGGAUGUACCAGUGAAAUAGUGUUACUAGAGAUACCCCUAAUUGGUUGGCAAGGUUCAAAUUAUAACCGUAUGUCAUACCAAGUAUGUUAAUGUUUGACAUUUAUAUGGUUACCUAACGUCAUGGAAUGGCUACAUGCAAGAGUUGUCCGCUUCACAUCACCCUUGUUUAAUGAUGUUUUCAUAGGAACUUUUCCUUACAUGUUAUUUAUUGCACUGGUUACUUCCCACAUGCCACUUGUCCAUAUUGUACGGGUAAUGCAUGCUAAUUAAUCAUAUGACCAUUUCUACAUAUUUUGCAUACAAAGUUCCUACUUGCUCAAACACUUCAGGCUGUAUAGCUUUUCAGGCAAUGUCUUAUGUGCUGACUUACUCAUAUUUCAGAUUUGUGCUCAUUGACAUGUUAGUCUACUUAUCCAUGCAAUACAAUGCACUUGCUCAAUGUGAUUUAGGUUCUGUAGUUCAUUUUCUGAUAUGUCUACAUGUCAUAUCUACUACAUGUCUUAGCUUAUGUACUCAUGCAUUAUGUGAUCAUCUAGUCCAUUUGUACAUUCCCUAUAGUUCAUUCGCUCACACGAUACCCUAUAACUCAUAUGCACACGUACACCAUGUAUUUCUAUAGCUUAAUGAACGUAUACCUUGCGCUCUCCCUUUUGGGCUAGUCUACCUAUGUGCCAUGCCCAAUGUGACUUAUUCAUCCGUAUACUAUACCCCUCUCUAUGCUUAUUGAUUUCAGUUUUGAACAAUUUUGGAAUAUAUUUUCUUAUAUCAUCAUGUACUGAUAAUUUUGACCUGAAAAAGUUGGUCGUAUUUGUAAAUUUAAUCAACUAUAGAUAAAUAACUUAGCAUAAUACAAUAUUAGCAGGUGCGGCAUAAAACUUAGAUUUAUAUUUACAACUAUGCGUUCAUAAAGACUCCCCUCUGAAAAGCAUCAUGAAAUCAAAGAGAAAGGAAACUGUUGCCCCAAUAGCCUAUGAUUUUAUGUGUCCGUUCAUAUAUAAAAAAAUUGGGAGAAACUAUAGUUAUUCUUAAUUGUUAAGGCCCGGAAGCUAAGCUCAGAAUGUGUAACCAUAAGUAUUUGGGAAGGAAUAGAAUAUAACAUAAGAUACUUCAGAGUAGAACAUGGUAGAGAGAUACUAAGUAACCUCCCUCAUUCUAAACAUCAACAUAAGGAUCUAAGAUCAUGCGGUCCCCUUAUAUGAUCAUGAAUCCUACUAGAAUAUAUUCAUUUGUUGUGUCAUUUGCUGUGUCAUUUGUGUGUCUUGUAUUUAGGUAUAUUACAGUCCUUAUUUAUAUGAGUCCUACUUGUAUAUCUUUAGUGACUUACAUGGUAAAGAAGGGGUUUACUUUUCAUAGUACUAUUUCAUGAAUCAUAUAUAUCAAAACGUCAUGCUAGAUUUGUCUAUACAUAUUUUAGGUUAGUUUAUUGAUUUUAGAUAGUCCUGCCUAUUUACAAUAGGGAUUCUCAUAAAUCUCUAUAUGAAUUUCAAGUAUUAGCUGAACUACUAGGUGCACAUAUCAUUCGAGAGCGAAUGAUCAUAAGAGGGGGAGGAUGUAACACCCCGUAUUCUGCGUAUACUAGUCUUAUUUAUAUUAUGCUUAUUAACUGCCUUGUGGUAUAGUUAUGGAUUCGGUUUCAUAGGCAACUAAUGGCAAUAGAAUAGGUUUAAAGUAAAUUGUCCAUAGAUUUUGAUGCUAGCCAAUUAGUUGAUGUUGAUGGAAGUAUUUAAACUUGAGAUCAUGAAUUGGUAUCUAAGUGUAAAGUAUAAAGUGACGUAGUGUAUAUAAGUUCUAAGUUAUGUUAAAGUUAUUAAGGUCUGGAAAGGGAAUAAAAUAUUAAGGUGAUUGCUUGAUUUCAGUAAGAUAGUAGGUGACAAGUAGGUGCAUCACCUACUUUGACUUAUUGACCACACCAAGUAGGUGCAUCACCUACUUUGACUUAUUGACCACACCAAGUAGGUGCAUCACCUACUAAGACUCUUUUGACUGUGUUAUUGGGCAAAUUACACUACAACUAUUUGCAUUAAUUUAGCCCAAAUUCAAUAGAAGAAUAAGGGGAACAUGGAAAGCCAAGGACCAGUCUUCCCAAGCCCACAAGAAAUAUUUUUAAUGGAAAACUAGGUGCAUCACCUACUUAAAUGUGUUUCCCAAAUUAUAGAGACUUGUUGGCUGCAAAAGAAGUACAUGAAAGGUGGCAGAAGGGCCAAUAUUCUUAAGUCACAAAUGUUAAAAUGUUUCAACUAUGUGGGUCACAUACUUGACAAAUUAUGGCCCAAAAUGAGUGACAAAGUCGGCUAAAACAGGUCUCUUUAAAAGAGAUUGAUAUAAGCUUUUUUCAAACCAUUUUUACUUUUGAGAAAAAUAUUAUAUCUAGAGCUUUCUCUUCUCUCUCUUAGAUUCAUACAACAACCAUUAUAUACCAUUAGGUUUCUUGAAUAAUAGGUAUUUCAAGCUAUUGAAAGGUAUAAUUUGAGACAAGUUAAGGAGGACAACCUUUACCUUCAAGAAUUCAAGUUUUAGCAAGUGGUAGGUAUGUCCAGCAAGGUUAGCUACUGCAAUUUUCUCCCUCUUCUGCGUCAGUUAAUUAGGACACUUGGUAUGUGUUAGUGAGUUGGAAAUUGUUACUUUUACAUGAUGGAUAUUUUUGGGAGGAUUUUCUGCUUAUUAGUGCAUAUUGGGACAACUAUGGUGGGGAGUCCUCUUUAAAUUAAGAUAUGAGCUUAUUUGAACACUUUAAAAGCAAUGUUAGCUCUUCUAAUGCUGGUGAUCAGAAACCAUGAUUCAUAUUACUUCAAUUACAUUAUUAUGUUCAAAGAUCAUUUUAUGUUUGUUAUUAUAAGGGAUAUGACCGGAUGUGCGGGGAAGUAAUGGAGACAUUAAAGGUCAUAAAUAUUGUAGGGAGUUUUGAGGGGGACCUUCUAUGAAGGUUUUACAGUAUAUAGACGCGAUUAAUAGGAUAGGGAAGGAAAGAAAGCCCUGGCUAGAUAGAUUGCAGCUUACUGCUUCGUUACUAUUUAGGUGUGAUCAAGUCGCUCAAAUUGAUUGAGUAGCUACUAAUACUAGUCUUACAACUUAUUUCAUUGUAGAUUAGUGAUCUGAAGAGAAGGAGCUUAAGUCAUACGUUUUGAAUUCUUUAGGAAGGUAUGUAAGGCUAAUUGAUUUCCUAUUUCUUUGUCAUGAAUCAAAAACAUGCAUUACAUAAAGUAAGCUUUCUAAGUGCCCAUGGUAGUGACUGAUCCUUAGUUACAGUUCCUACUCCCUAGAGCAUUGAAAUGCGUACUCUAAUAUGAGUUUAUUACUAAAUGUGCGUGUUUACUCUACCAAGUGUUAGUAUGAAAGUUUAAACUUGUUUCAUUGUCAACACACCCUAGCACGUAUUUCCAUUAUAUAAGUCAAAGUGAUCGUAGAUUACACAUGGUAAAUAUAUUUAUAGGAUGGAUAUAUGAUCUGCCUAUAUUUUGCCAACUUGCUCCAAUUGUUUAUAGAUAUGCCAUAUUGUCACACGUUCAUAUGUUCCCUUCCUUGUUACUACACCCAUUGUUUUAGACAAUGAGGUUACCUUUGAUGAUCACUACUUGCUGAAUUGCACGAUUAUUACUUACUUGGAAUAAGUAUCUUUCCUUACGUUGAAUCUUCCCUAUUUUCCCCUGGGUUCCACAUGCAUGAACAUCUUGUAUUUGUAUCAUAUAGAGUUCAAAUAUCUUGGCUGAAUGUUAAAUUGUCUUCACUGUAUGUGCUUUAAUUUGUGAUGUCAAAAUGCUUAUCGAGUCAUAUAAGCUCCUAAGUAGUACGUUCAAGUCACGUUUGAUUCCCAUGUCAUUUUUAUUAUCGUAAGUUCAUAUUCAUAUGUCUUCUACUACUUGUUUGUAGUUCCAAAUCUAAAUAAGGGUUAUGACCACCAAAACAAUUAUCACAGACAAGUUCUAAAAAUCUAAAAGAACAAUCUCAAAAGAGUUAUGAUUAUCUAAAGAACAAUCCUAAGAGAGUUAUGAACUAGUAAACAACAAUCCCAAAGAUAAAAGAAUCUAAGUGGAGUGAUCAAUAUAAUUAUGGGUGGUAUCUCAGGGGAAAAAAAGCCUAGCAUGGGCUGAUCUCAAUUGGUAUGGAAGGGUGGCUGCUCAGGGGAAAAAGCCUAGCAUGGGCUGAUCCCGAUUGGUAUGGAAGGGUGGACACUCAGGGGCAAAAUCCUAGCAUAGGCCAAUCCCAAUUUGUAGAAUUAUGAGGAUAAUAUCCCAGGGGUUAAAAUGUGUAGCAUGGGUCAUCCUCUUCUACCGUUGGUCAAUUGUUAUUUGUAUCAUAUGUUAUAUAAAGAUUAUAAAGUACAGAGAAGCAAAGAAAAGAAUGUAACAUGCACGAUUCCACAAGUACAAAGAAAAGGUUGUCUCUAAUCCUUAUCUAUUGGUAUUUGGUUUUACUUGAGCUCUCAUGUUACAUAUGGUUGUAUUAUGUCUUACAUAUUCAGUACAUUCUUUCGUACUGAAGUCCCUUAUUGGGGACGCUGCAUUUCAUGCUGCAGGUACAAGUACUCAACUUGUAGAUUUUUUCAAUAGAAGCACAUUAUACUCAGCGGAUGUUGGUGAGCUCCAGGUUGAUUCGGGGCUUUUCCGAGUCUUUACUGUUUGUAUUUUCAUAGUGAUACCGUCAUGGAUUCCAGUAAAGGCUUUUUAGACAUUGUAAAGUUAUCAUCUGUAUUCAUAGUUUCACUUGUCACAUAUAGUGGUUCAGCUAGUAAAAAUGUGUUGUAUUUGAAGCUUCAUCAAUAAUAUCCAUAGUAGUCUAAUUUAUCAUCAUAGAUUACUUGUAAAUCAUGUGUUCAUAAGGUAGUUUUCCGCCUCACUCAGGGUUGGGGCUGACAAAUACUAUCUUGAAAUUUAUGUGCAAUGUACAAUGAAGUGCAUAACUUUUUCUUUUUAGUAGGCCAGCGACGAAAUGGGUGAUACUUCCCUUCAGAACUAAGUCACCAUAAUUCAUUUUAUUGCUUGCAUAUAUAUCCCAUUAUCAUAGUAUUAUUGUUUUACAUAUAACUCUAAUUUUGUGCUUUUCAUUAGGCUUAUGUUCGAGUUGCACAUUGUUGUCUUGCACAGCUAAGAGUAAGUUUUCCUAUUUGUCCCUUUUCUCAUUUUGUUUGAUACCACCAUAUACACACACAGACUUCUCUUUCUUUAGUUCUUUGUCCGUUCGAAGCUGGGAGAAAACCAAAGCAAAUCAAACCUCCAUAUUAAUUUCAUCCUUCUUUUCCACUGUAAACAAAUUAUAGGGUUUUUGCAGUGGAUUUUGAACAAACUUUUCUCAUCUAUGUUUUCUGUUUCUUGGAGUUACCUCAGUAUCGACAAGAAAUAGAAGAUUGAGGACUUUUUCUUUUAAAAACUUAACGGGUUCUCCUUUUCAACAUUGUAUUAUAUUAAGUUUAUGCGGAUCAAAUCCAUGUGUUAUUCAUUAUUCAUCUGGUAAGAAUGAAAACUAAUAUAUAUAUAUAUAUGUAUAUGUAUAUAUGUGUGUGUGUGUGUGUGUUUGUGUGUGUGUGUGUGUUUGUGUUUGUUUGUGUGUGUGUGUGUGUCUGUGUGUGUUAUUAGAUUUAAAUACUUGGGAAGUUUACAUAUUUACAAAUUCUUGUCUGUUUUUUAUGUAGGGAAAACUUGAAAAGGUUCAUUUUAGUAGAGUUUCUUCUUAUUUUGGGGGAUUUCUAGGGUCUUCUAAGAUAUACUGAUGAUUUAGCUUUCAAGCAAAGGAAUUUACCCCAAAUGGGAAAAGGUCACCCAUACAUGAGGCAAUACCACUGUGAAUGGGACUUUCUGUAAAUGGCGGAUGCCCUUCUUUAUUGCGCCACAAAUUUUUUUCCAUUAUAAAAAAUCAGCAGCCCUUGUGUCACACCCCAACCUUAGGUGAGGCAGACAAGUACCCUAUGAACAAAUUUUUUUACAAGUAACCUAUGAUCAGAAAGUAAACUACUUAUGAAAUACAUAUUGACUAGCUGAACCAAUACAUGUGACAAGUGAAACUAUUAAUUUAGAUGACAGCUUUACAAUAUCUACAAACACUCUAUUAGAAUCCAUUCUACGAAACUACACACAGUAAAGACAAAACAAAGCCCCAAAUCAACCUGGAGCUCACCAAAAGUGACUGAGUAUCAUGUGCUUCUAUUGGGCAGAUCUUCUUUUGAAUACUUGUACCUGCAACAUGAAAUGCAGCAUCCCAAAUAAGUGAUGUCAGUAUAAAAUAGUGUAACGAAUAUGUAAGGCAUAAUACAACCAUAUGUGACAUGAGAGCUCAAGUGAAACCAAAUGUCAAUAGAUAAGGAUUAGAGACCACAUUUACUUAUACUUGUGGAAUUAUGUAUGUUAUAUUCUUUUGUUUACUCUUCUGGGCAUUAUAAAUUUUGUAAGCCAUAUGAUACAAGUGACCAACUGAUCAGUGGUAGGAGAGGAUGACCCAUGCUAGGUAAUUUAACCCCUGGGAUGAUGUCAUCAUAAUUCUACAAAUUGGGAUCGGCCCAUGCUAGGAUUUUGCCCUUGAGAUACCACCCUACUAUACCAAUUGGGAUCCACCCAUCCUAGGCUUUUCACCUGGACUGCCACACAUAAUUUUUAAAUUGCUUUACAUAGGUUAUUUUAUUUUUUUAAUCCUUGAGAUUGUUGAUUUGAUGUUCAUAACUCUUUUGAGACUGUACAUUGGAUUAUUAUAACUCUUUAAGAUUGUUCUUUUGUUAAUAAUAACUCAUUCGUGAUUGAUCUUUUGGUAUUCAUAAUCAUUGUUGAGAUUUUGAACUACAAACCAGUAGUAGAAGACAUACAAAUAUGGACUUACGAUUAUAACAAUGACGUGGGAAGCAAAUGUGACACCUACGUAAUACUUCUUCUAUGACUCAGUAUGAAUUUUUGACAUCUCAAAUUGAAGCACAUACGAAGUGAAGACAUAUUAUAUUCAACCAAGAGAUUUUAACUCUAUGAUAGCCAAAUAUUCAGCAACUAAUAUAAAUGACAAGGCAUACAUGAAUGCGGAACCAAGGAAGAAUGUGGACAAAUUCAACUUAAGGACGGAUACAUAUUUGAGGAAAGCAACCCUUGAAUCAUCCAUGGAGAUAGAAGCUUUGGUGUACUCAUCAGAUAUAUCCAAUGGCAGCAACUUCUAUUCUUGGGAAGCUGAUCAUGGAUGCCCUUAUAUGUAUUCGGAAUUGAGAAAAUCCUCUGGAUAUUGGAUCACAUGGGAAAAACACUUACUACUUCUUAAGGCACCAGAUAUUGUAAAGGAUGGGGAGUGACAGAGCUUUGUUGAUGGCUGUCAUACAGGGUGAACUUGAGGAUUAUCAAACUUCAAAAAAGGACUUCAAGAACUUCAAAGAUAGUAGUGUGCUUCUGCGAUACAAUGGUUGCUGAAUGUGAAAAUGGACCACUUUUUUAACCUGAUUCUGUCCAAAUCAUCCCCAAUCUUGUAAUUUCAUCAUUUCAGGGGGGGGGGACUUUUUGAUACUCUAAAUCUAGAGGAUCUCCAUCAAAGAAAUGGCUUGGAGUAACACAAAAUUCCUAAAAUACAUACAUUUAGAGGUUAAAAAUGCUUUGAGAUUUUCCUUUUGGGUCUCACAGAACCCUCUUAUGCUCUGCUUGUGGUCAGAUCAUUGUUUUUCAGUCUGUUACCUCAAUCGCUGCUCAAAAAGAGAUGUUAGGGUGAAGUUGAGGAUUAUCAAACAUCAAAAAUGGGCUUCAAGAACAUCAAAGAUAACCUCUUCGAUUUCUGGGAUACACUGGUUGUUGAAUGUGAAAAUGGACCACUUUUUGAAUCUGAUUCUUUCCCAAACAUCCCCUAUAUCAGCCUCACACUGUUUCAGGGGAUUUUUUGACACUCAAAAUCUUGAUAAUCUCCAUCAGAUAAAUAAAUUGGAGAAACAAAAAAUUCCCAGAAAUACAUAAAUUAAGAACUUAAAAAGCUUUUUGAUUUUCCGUUAGGGUCUGGUCGGAACCAGGUGAAGCUGUGCUUGUGGUCAGGUCAUUGUUCUUCAAUCCGUUGCAUCAUUCGCUGCUCGGAAAGAGAUCAUGAAGAGAUCAAUUCUUGAUUUGUAUUCAAUAAUAUCAGUGUGUGAGGAGAAGCUAAAGUUCUAAAAGAAUUGAAGUUAUAAGGAGAAGUUGCAGAAAUUGAGGUAAGGUGACUAUUCCAUUUUUGUCUUCCUUAUGUAUGUUUGAGUGAGGAAUUAGUAGUGUGCUGUCAUGAGGAUCUCAAGGGGGUGGUGAGUUCAAUACUUGGUUGUAUGAUAAAGAAUAUUUGGGGCUGUUCUAUGUGUAUUACUGUUGGCGUAGCUUUGUUGAUUUUGUGGAAAGGAUAUAUAAUGUAUGUGAUGGACAGAGAAUGAGGGUGUGGUGAUACUCAUUAUGUUAAGUGCUUUAUGGGAUCAUUAUCUUUCAAAGUUAGCUACUAUUUUACGAAGCUCACGAUGUGAUAGCUGCUAACUUAUGACUGAAAUUAUAGAUUACAACCAAAAAGGGGAGGAUGAAACGUAAUUGUAUAUCAGUCUGAGGAUAGAGUAUGUAAGGCUAUUCGAUUCUAUAUCCCUUUGGCAUGAAAUCUGAUACCAGCGAAUAAUAUCAAUUAAGUGAAUCUCAAAAGUUGUGUCCCUAGAAAAGGAAACAUAGUGUCAGCGUAUUAUCUCCAAAUAGAUAACAAAAUUUCCCCCACUCCGUAGUGCAUAGAACUACUUCAUUAUACGUUCACUAAUUUAUACUUGUGUAAUUAUCCCCCUAUUUGCUGGUAUAGAAAUGGUAAUUACAAAAACAAGUCUGCUGAAUUCUCUUUUUUGUUUUUUGAAUUCAAUUGUGUCAUUAAGCUCUUAACGUAAUGUGUUGAUGUUACAUAGCUCCUCCUGUCAAUGUUAUUUCCUUGAAGUAUUA